ACAGAAGAGAGCCAUUAUAAUGAGAGGCCACCUAAUGAAAAUUCGCACUUCUUUGCUGGUAGUAUAAGAAUAAUACCAAUAACACCACACACCUCGGUUCUUCUUGAUGAGGUUGCACGUGCUUCCCCUCUUCAUUUGUCCCGAAUUCGGUCUCUUCCGACGACGAGAACAUUUCGUGGUGGGAUACUCCAGGAUGGGUCAUCGUCGGCAUAGUUGUCGUUGCCUUUGUAAUCUGUGGUGCCCUUUUCUACUUUCGUCGUGGUCCUGAGGACGCAGAAAGCACUCUCCCGGCAAACGCGGAAAUCUUCCUUAAAUUGGACAGUGCGAGCAUUUCGUUUCGUUGUCGUUAGCAUUCUUCUCCUAGGACAAUAAGAUGCAAGCUUCUGGGCAUGUCUGUGUGAAACUCGAAUAAUUUAUAGUGACAGGUCGUCUAUUCUAGUAUCCAACAUUGGAGAUUUGAUGCAACAAAUAAUUGUGUUGGAGGAAAAAAAAAUUGUGAUGAAGGGUUUGUUAAA